rnacentral:rRNA from 1 species
CGCGUAGGUGGUAGUGAAAGUCUAUGGUGGAAUCUUAGGGCUUAACCCUAAAACUGCCUUGGAAACUUCAUUACUUGAGUCAGUGAGGGGAGGGUAGAAUUCCUGGUGUAGCGGUGAAAUGCGUAGAUAUCAGGAGGAGGGCCGGUGGCGAAGGCGGCCCUCUGGCGCUGAACUGACGCUGAGGCGCGAAAGCGUGGGUAGCAAACAGGAUUAGAUACCCUGGUAGUCCACGCCCUAAACGGUGGGUACUAGGUGUAGGGCUCGUAAGGGUUCUGUGCCGAAGGGAAACCAUUAAGUACCCCGCCUGGGGAGUACGGCCGCAAGGUUGAA